CCUACGGGUGGCAUCAGUGAGGAAUAUUGGUCAAUGGGCUUACGCCUGAACCCGCCAAGUCGCGUGAGGGCAGACUGCCCUAUGGGUUGUAAACCUCUUUUGUCAGGGAGCAAUUUGCGCUACGUGUAGCGUUCUCUAUAGUACCUGAAGAAAAAGCAUCGGCUAACUCCGUGCCAGCAGCCGCGGUAAUACGGAGGAUGCGAGCGUUCUCCGGUUUUAUUGGGUUUAAAGGGUGCGUAGGCGGAAUGCCAAGUCAGCGGUAAAAUCGCGGGGCUCAACCUCGCUCCGCCGUUGAAACUGGCGUUCUUGAGUGGGCGAGAAGUAGGCGAAAUGCGUGGUGUAGCGGUGAAAUGCAUAGAUAUCACGCAGAACUCCGAUUGCGAAGGCAGCAGACCGGCGCCCAACUGACGCUGAAGCACGAAAGCGUGGGUAUCGAACAGGAUUAGAUACCCUAGUAGUC
rnacentral:rRNA from 1 species